UACAGAGGUCUCAAGCGUUGUUCGGAUUCAUUGGGCGUAAAGGGUGCGUAGGCGGCGCGGUAAGUCGGAUGUGAAAGCCCUCGGCUUAACUGAGGAAGUGCACCCGAAACUGAGUAGCUAGAGUACUAAAGAGGGUCGCGGAAUUCCCGGUGUAGAGGUGAAAUUCGUAGAUAUCGGGAGGAACACCGGUGGCGAAGGCGGCGACCUGGGUAGAGACUGACGCUGAGGCGCGAAAGCGUGGGGAGCAAACAGG
rnacentral:rRNA from 1 species